rnacentral:rRNA from 1 species
UACGUAGGGUGCGAGCGUUAAUCGGAAUUACUGGGCGUAAAGCGUGCGCAGGCGGUUCGUUGUGUCGGCGGUGAAAGCCCCGGGCUUAACCUGGGAAUGGCCGUUGAAACUGGCGAACUGGAGUGUGGCAGAGGGGGGUGGAAUUCCGCGUGUAGCAGUGAAAUACGUAGAGAUGCGGAGGAACACCGAUGGCGAAGGCAGCCCCCUGGGCUAACACUGACGCUCAGGCACGAAAGCGUGGGGAGCAAACAGG